AUACGUAGGUGGCAAGCGUUGUCCGGAAUUAUUGGGCGUAAAGCGCGCGCAGGUGGUUCCUUAAGUCUGAUGUGAAAGCCCCCGGCUCAACCGUGGAGGGUCAUUGGAAACUGGAGGACUUGAGUGCAGAAGAGGAAAGUGGAAUUCCAAGUGUAGCGGUGAAAUGCGUAGAGAUUUGGAGGAACACCAGUGGCGAAGGCGACUUUCUGGUCUGUAACUGACGCUGAGGCGCGAAAGCGUGGGGAGCAAACAGGAUUAGGUACCCUGGUAGUCCACGCCGUAAACGAUGAGUGCUAAGUGUUAGGGGGUUUCCGCCCCUUAGUGCUGCAGCUAACGCAUUAAGCACUCCGCCUGGGGAGUACGGUCGCAAGACUGAAACUCAAAUGAAUUGACGGG
rnacentral:rRNA from 1 species